rnacentral:lncRNA from 1 species
UUCAACACUAUUAAUACACUUGCUGAUAAGUCAUCAAGUUUUUGGCAUCGUUGUCUGGGAUUGUAAAUUUCCACAAGACCAUUUUUGUGUGAAGCUUAUUAGGUUUAAUUUUAUUUAUUUGUUUCAAUUUUUUUUGUUUAUAUUUUUUUUAGAUUUAGAUUUAAAUUUGGAUUUAGAUUUAGAUUUUCAGCUGAUUAUUCUAGAUUUGGAUUUAAUAUUUUUUACGAUUAGAUUAGAUUUGUUUUUGUUUUUA